rnacentral:rRNA from 1 species
CGAGGGUUUAGUAGCAAUACUAAACUUAGUGGCGCACGGGUGCGUUACGCGUAUGCAACCUACCUUCAACUGGGAGAUAGCCCCUCGAAAGAGGGAUUAAUACCCCAUAGUAAUUAGAUAAGGCAUCUUAUUUAGUUUAAAGUUCCGGCGGUUGAAGAUGGGCAUGCGUGACAUUAGCUAGUUGGUGAGGUAACUGCUCACCAAGGCUACGAUGUCUAGGGGUUCUGAGAGGAUGAUCCCCCACACUGGUACUGAGACACGGACCAGACUCCUACGGGAGGCAGCAGUAAGGAAUAUUGGUCAAUGGACGCAAGUCUGAACCAGCCAUGCCGCGUGAAGGAUGACUGCCCUAUGGGUUGUAAACUUCUUUUGUACGGGAAUAAACCCAGGUACGUGUACCUGGCUGAAUGUACCGUAAGAAUAAGGAUCGGCUAACUCCGUGCCAGCAGCCGCGGUAAUACGGAGGAUCCAAGCGUUAUCCGGAUUCAUUGGGUUUAAAGGGUGCGUAGGCGGAUUUGUAAGUCAGUGGUGAAAGCCUGCAGCUCAACUGCAGAACUGCCAUUGAUACUGCAAGUCUUGAGUACACUUGACGUGGGCGGAAUGUGUCAUGUAGCGGUGAAAUGCUUAGAUAUGACACAGAACACCGAUUGCGAAGGCAGCUCACGAAAUUGUAACUGACGCUGAGGCACGACAGCGUGGGGAUCAAACAGGAUUAGAUACCCUGGUAGUCCACGCCGUAAACUAUGAAUACUCGAUG